rnacentral:lncRNA from 1 species
GAAAUCCCAGCACUCAGGAGGCCAAGCCAGACUUUGACUGGCUCUACAGCCCGAGCUAUGCAGUGAGAGCCUGUCUCCAACAAACUAAUAGAAACCUGCAUCGGACACACUCUGACACUCAGGAAAGACUUUCCGACGAAGACAAACCUGCCUUUCAGAACAGCUCUAAAUAGAGGCAGCAGGCCAGAGGAAGAAACCAUAUUGCUCCCCCACCACUCACCAAAUUCAGGUCACAGCCCCACCCACCCUCCUUCUCAAGUCAACGCACCAGUGCUCUCUCUGAACACCUUACCUCCAACCAGUUUGCCUCUAGCUCCAUUAUUUGUAACAAAACAGUUCUCUUCUGCAGUGAAAAGGAAAGAUAAAGAGUACACACCAAUCCCACACUUGGUUUUUGCAGAGCCAAGCUCGGAUCCUCUACAGAAGGAGUCUCCUCGGUUGCGUGGGGGAGGGGACACACUUUUUAUUCUGCACUGAAAGAACUGUGACUGGGAGCGUGUGUGAGCAUCAGACGGACUCUUCCCCCUUGAGGUGUGGUGGCGCUCAUCUUUAACCUCGGUAGACAGAGGCAGGAGGAUCUCUUUGAGUUCGAAGCCACAUGAAAGAGAGAGCAAGAAAUAAAGAAGGGAGGGAGGGAGAAAAAAGAAGAAAGAAAAAAAAAAGAAAAACUAACAACUC